rnacentral:rRNA from 1 species
CUACGGGGGGCAGCAGUGGGGAAUAUUGCACAAUGGAGGGAACUCUGAUGCAGCAGCGCCGCGUGGAGGAUGACACAUUUCGGUGCGUAAACUCCUUUUAUAUAAGAAGAUAAUGACGGUAUUAUAUGAAUAAGCACCGGCUAACUCCGUGCCAGCAGCCGCGGUAAUACGGGGGGUGCAAGCGUUACUCGGAAUCACUGGGCGUAAAGAGCAUGUAGGCUGGUUUGUAAGUUGGAAGUGAAAUCCUAUGGCUUAACCAUAGAACUGCUUCCAAAACUACUUACCUAGAGUAUGGGAGAGGUAGAUGGAAUUUCUGGUGUAGGGGUAAAAUCCGUAGAGAUCAGAAGGAAUACCGAUUGCGAAGGCGAUCUACUGGAACAUUACUGACGCUCAGAUGCGAAAGCGUGGGGAGCAAACAGGAUUAGAUACCCCCGUAGUC